UCCUCGAGGUAGGACCCGACUAGACGAC
rnacentral:sRNA from 1 species